rnacentral:rRNA from 1 species
UUGAUCCUGGCUCAGGACGAACGCUGGCGGCGUGCCUAACACAUGCAAGUCGAACGGAGAUAUUAGAUGAAGCUUGCGAUUCUAGUAUUUUAGUGGCGGACGGGUGAGUAACGCGUGGGUAACCUGCCCAUAAGUGGGGAAUAACAGUUGGAAGCGACUGCUAAUACCGCAUAAACUGAGGAAUCAGGAAAGGUGGCCUCUUAACAAUGCUACCGCUUAUGGAUGGGCCCGCGUCUGAUUAGCUAGUUGGUGGGGUAAGAGCCUACCAAGGCGACGAUCAGUAGCCGGCCUGAGAGGGUGAACGGCCACAUUGGGACUGAGACACGGCCCAAACUCCUACGGGAGGCAGCAGUGGGGAAUAUUGCGCAAUGGGGGAAACCCUGACGCAGCGACGCCGCGUGAGCGAAGAAGGUCUUCGAAUCGUAAAGCUCCUGUUUUAAGGGACGAAUGUUCAUGUGAGUAACUGCAUAUGAAAUGACGGUACCUUAAGAGGAAGCCCCGGCUAACUACGUGCCAGCAGCCGCGGUAAGACGUAGGGGGCGAGCGUUGUCCGGAAUUACUGGGCGUAAAGAGCACGUAGGCGGGAACUUAAGUCAGGUGUGAAAGACCGGGGCUCAACUCCGGGGUGGCACUUGAAACUGGGUUUCUUGAGGGCAGGAGGGGGAAGCAGAAUUCCUGGUGUAGCGGUGAAAUGCGUAGAAAUCAGGAGGAAUACCAGUGGCGAAGGCGGCUUUCUGGACUGACCCUGACGCUGAGGUGCGAAAGCGUGGGUAGCAAACAGGAUUAGAUACCCUGGUAGUCCACGCUGUAAACGAUGGAUACUAGGUGUAGGAGGUAUCGACCCCUUCUGUGCCGCAGCUAACGCAAUAAGUAUCCCGCCUGGGGAGUACGAUCGCAAGGUUGAAACUCAAAGGAAUUGACGGGGGCCCGCACAAGCGGUGGAGCAUGUGGUUUAAUUCGAUGCAACGCGAAGAACCUUACCAGGUCUUGACAUCUGUAGAACCUUAACGAAAGUUGAGGGUGCCUUCGGGAGCUACAAGACAGGUGGUGCAUGGUUGUCGUCAGCUCGUGUCGUGAGAAUGUUGGUUAAGUCCCGCAACGAGCGCAACCCUUGCUAUUAGUUGCUAACAGGCUAAGCUGAGCACUCUAAUGGGACUGCCCGUGACAAGCGGGAGGAAGGUGGGGAUGACGUCAAAUCAUCAUGCCCUUUAUGAUCUGGGCUACACACGUGCUACAAUGGAUGGUACAAAGAGAAGCAAGACCGCGAGGUGGAGCGAAUCUCAAAAAGCCAUUCUCAGUUCGGAUUGGAGUCUGCAACUCGACUCCAUGAAGUCGGAAUCGCUAGUAAUUGCGAAUCAGAACGUCGCAGUGAAUGCGUUCCCGGGCCUUGUACA